rnacentral:rRNA from 1 species
CGCGUAGGCGGUUUCGGAAGUCAUGGGUGAAAGUCCUCGGCUCAACCGAGGGAUUGCCUGUGAAACCACGGGACUGGAGUGCUGGAGAGGGAAGCGGAAUUCCCAGUGUAGCGGUGAAAUGCGUAGAUAUUGGGAGGAACACCUGUGGCGAAGGCGGCUUCCUGGACAGACACUGACGCUGAGGCGCGAAAGCCAGGGGAGCGAACG